rnacentral:rRNA from 1 species
CCUACGGGUGGCAGCAGUGGGGAAUAUUGGACAAUGGGCGAAAGCCUGAUCCAGCCAUGCCGCAUGUGUGAAGAAGGCCUUCGGGUUGUAAAGCACUUUCAGUGGGGAAGAAAGCCUUGGGGCUAAUACCCUCGAGGAAGGACAUCACCCACAGAAGAAGCACCGGCUAACUCCGUGCCAGCAGCCGCGGUAAUACGGAGGGUGCGAGCGUUAAUCGGAAUUACUAGGCGUAAAGCGCGCGUAGGCGGUCUGAUAAGCCGGUUGUGAAAGCCCCGGGCUCAACCUGGGAACGGCAUCCGGAACUGUCAGGCUAGAGUGCAGGAGAGGAAGGUAGAAUUCCCGGUGUAGCGGUGAAAUGCGUAGAGAUCGGGAGGAAUACCAGUGGCGAAGGCGGCCUUCUGGACUGACACUGACGCUGAGGUGCGAAAGCGUGGGUAGCAAACAGGAUUAGAUACCCGAGUAGUC